UACGGGGGGGGCAAGCGUUGUUCGGAAUUACUGGGCGUAAAGGGCGCGUAGGCGGCUUGGCAAGUGGAUGGUGAAAUCCCUCGGCUUAACCGAGGAACUGCCGUCCAAACUGCUUCGCUUGAGACCGGGAGAGGUGAGUGGAAUUCCCAGUGUAGCGGUGAAAUGCGUAGAUAUUGGGAGGAACACCAGUGGCGAAGGCGGCUCACUGGACCGGUACUGACGCUGAUGCGCGAAAGCGUGGGGAGCAAACAGG
rnacentral:rRNA from 1 species